rnacentral:lncRNA from 1 species
CAGAACCGAGGAAGAGGCGGUCGUUGUAGCCAAACCGCUGAGACUUCCAGGUCUUCUUUUCCUUUAGCUAUAAUCUCCUGUAACAUUCAAACAACAGAGUCAAACCUCUAACACAACACAACACGAAAUAGAGGUGCAUGAUGACAAAAUAUAAGCGAGAAGGUCAUGCCUCUAUGAAGAACAGAACCGUUGAGUCUACCAUACAGGAAUGGUCAGAAGGUCACAGCCCAAAUUAAACUAUUGCAAGUUUUAUUGGCUAACGACAGCUUUACUUGAGUUGUUCAUUGUGUGACUAGUGCAUCAAAACACAAAAAAUGAACGUUGGACACAUCAGGCGCUGAAUUAGAUAUUGGUCUGUUUGUUUUUCAGGCUGAGAGCUUGCUCAUGGUUCAGAGUGUAACAACUUCGGUUAAAUAUAUUCUUUUAUUUAAUAAUUUCUUUGAAUCGACACCUGUAUUAGUAUCCAGCAAUAGUGUAGUUUCAAAUGCUAAUCUCCAGAUGACAAGUCUCAUCUAUGGCACCAACAGGCUCCAAUAAAUAGAUUUCACUAUGAAUAUCAUAAGCAUGGCAUAAGUAUCAGGAGUAUGGCAUAAACAGAUGAAUAUCAAGGGACAACAAAAUUGUAAUGCAACAAUAGCAUGGCUUAAGUAUCAUGAGUCACAAAACAGAGUUGUUGAGUGAGUCCACAAUAAAUCCUAGGAUACGACAGGUAGAUCAACCUCACGGUACCAUUGUUCAAGAAAAUCCCGAUGCCACAUUUGCAAGCUAGAUAACUUGCGCUGCUUCUUCGUAUGCUCCACUACUAGGUAUGCAUCUUUUGCAUCACCAUACAACAAGUGUGUACUUCUAAAUGCCAAUCCGAAUGUAAGCAGUCUUGUGUAUAGGACCAACAUGCUCGAGAAUAUAUUUCAAUAUAUAUGAAGAUCCUACAUGUUCUCACAAGCAUGGAUAAAACUUAGUAAGCAGUUAGGCAUCUCAGGGAACAAUAAAAUUGUACUACUAAAUUUCAUUGCAACAAUAGCAUGGCAUAAUGACAAGGUUUCACAAAACAGAGUUGUUGUAAUUUUGCCAAAUGGACAGUGAGAAGACCACAACAGCCUUGAUUGUACAACAAAGCAACAGUACAAUUUCAAAUGCUAAUUUGAAGGUAGAGAAGCAUUAUAUACAGGACCAACAAGCUCCAAUAAAAUAGAUUUCACUACAAAGACCUUACAAGUUCUCAUAAGCACAUAUACUCCCUCCGUUCCAAAAUAGAUGACUCAACUUUGUACUAACUUUAGUACAACGUUAGUACAAAGUUGGGUCAUCUAUUUUGCAACGGAGGGAGUAUAAGUUAGCACGUCAUUAACAGUAGAGUAAGCAUAGCAUCGAACCGAGACAUCUCAGGGGAAUACAAAAUUGCAAAUUUUAUUGAAACUUGUCAAGUUAUUAACAUUAUUUUUCCACACAGCUGGUUCACAAAAUGACAUGCUUGAUCAGAGAGCAGGUGAAUAGAUAAGAAGCGGGAGAGAUAAUGCUGCAUUAAGGACUCCACAUAAAUAUCACCUCAUGUAUGCUAAUCUUAAGAUCACAAGUCUCAUCUAUAGGACCAACAAACUCAAAGAAAUAAGCUAGUAAGCUAUUGACAGUAGAGUAAGCAUAGUAUGGAACUGAAGCAUCUCAGGAGACAUAAAAACUGCAAAUUUCAUUGCAUCUCAAUAGCAUGGCAUAAUGAUCAGGUUCCAUAAAAACAAAACAGAGGUUCUGAGUGAGUUUACCAUAGUGGUCUAUCAAAACAUGACAACAACCUUGAUUGUACAACAAUCAAGCCUACAAUAAGAUAGACUGCUAGAUCAACCUCACCAUAACAAUCUUCAAAAAGAAUCAUCAUGACACAUUUGCAAGCUUGGAAGUCUUGGCUCCUGGGGGUCCUUCUUCCCCUCUGCAAAGUGAUUUGCAAUCCUCCUUUGAUCUCCGGCUUGCUAGUACUAGCUUCUUGUCUGCAAAAUGAACAAGGUCGACACUUUGAUUGGCCACAUACAACCAGCUCCAGUUUUAAGGUGGCCAAUGGAUACACACACGUUUGCUCCAGUUUCAGUCAUCCAAAAGGGAUGUUAUAGUAAUUAGUUUUGGUGCACUAGUUAGUUUGAACCAAAAUGGUUGAUUAGUUAGAGAUGGUACAGAAAUUGUAGAUCUCCCAUUGUUAAAUUGAUUGCGCUGUGAUAAGAGCCAAAAGUAACCUUGUAAUGUAUGACAUAUGCUUAGUAAUCCUUAGAGACUAAAGGCUUAAGCAUUUGACAGUAAUAAAUAAAUGCCCCAUGCUAUCCCUCAAAUAGCUAACUAAUCAGAAAUGGUUAAGAACAUGCAGAUUUGCCAUUCCUGAAUUGCUUGCACUACUGUACCAAGUACUAACAAUCAAUAGUACUGAAUUUCCAGUGAAAUUAAAGACUAAACUUAGAGCAUCUAAACAAUCUCAAAGUCAACAUCCAGCAGCGAGGUACAUCAAGAACCUUUUGGUUAAAGCAAGUGAUUUGCCAUGGAAUUGUACAAGUGCUAGCUCCCAAGGAAGGGAGGAAUCCUGUUGCUUUACACAAGUAGUGUUGUUUACCUGUAUAUGCAUGUUAUACACAGGAAAAAAUCAGGCAGCUAGCUAGCUAGCAGAUAAUAUCCUAUGUUGGAAAUCUAUCAACCCCCUACUUCAUCUUGGACUACUUUUUGCUUCAUUUCUACCCCCUCUAAAGAAAUAUAAGAGCGUUUAGAUCACUAAAGUAGUGACCUACAGUGAACCCAAACCAAAUACUUGUGCUGUUGCACAGGGCCUAGUGGACUCUUAUUUUAUCUCUUUUCAAUAAAAGCAUAAAAGAAAAUACAGUUUUACAAGAUGAGUCAGCAGACUUUGAGAUGUUAGCUACCAAAUGACACUUUUUAAGACCAAAGACUAUAAACGGAUAUAACUGUAUUGUUCUUCAGAAAGCUGGAUGCAUCAAAUUUCUAGACAAUCUAUACCUCUGUUAAUCAAUGGUUUAAGACUUCAGUAUCACAUGUUUGAUAGCAGUAGAAAAGUAAUAUGGCUACAAGUAAACAAAAGCCAUGCAAGAGUAAUAGGAUAUACAGGAUCAAGUAUUAUUUUCUAAUUCUAAUGAGAGAGAGGUACAUAGAUAAAAAUGCAGUGCAAAUAGACCACCAUCUAGCAUAAUUACCACGGCUCAAUGGCCGGGCCAUCUCAAAGGAACAAGGGGAGAGAAAGAGGAGUCCAGGGACUCAUCAGAACUGAUGAAGGGGCAGUCGUUGUAGCCAAAAUGCUGUGACUUCCAUAUCUUCUUUUCCUUUAGCUAUAAUCUCCUGUAACAUUCAAAGAACAAAGUCAGGCCUCUCUCUGAUGAACACAACACAACACAAAAGAGAAGUCCACUAUGACAAAAUAUAAGCGAGAAAGGCCAUGGCUCUAUUGUAACACCCCAAAAAUUUGACCUUGUUGUAUUAAUUAAAAUUUUGCCAGGAAAUAAAAAAUUUAUUUUUCUGGAUUUAUCUUUGAUUUCCGAACCCCUCUUCUCUUUAAUAUUGUGAGUUUUUACCUCUAGUGGAAACUUUCCCAAUGUAUCAUUGGACUUGUAUGCCCUCUUUAUAAAAUCAAUUCUUUAACAGUAGAUUUAUUUGCAUAAUUAUUUUUCCAUGAGCUUUAUUCUUUUAAAAUGACCUUUCAUAAAUUUGGAGCUCCUUUUUGCACUGCAACCAUUUGAUAAAUGCUUUUAAAAAUUUCACCAAAAUUUGGGGAUGUCAUGUGAGGUUUCCCCAUCACUUUUAUGCAAAAAUAUCUUUUGGUCAUUAGAGAUUUUGAGCUCUACAUCAAUUUUUCAAAUCUGGUCCAGUAGGUAUUUUGCACUACAACCUAUUUAAGUAUUCUUCUAAAAAAAUUUCCAAGUGUUUGGAGAUGUCAGUUGACGCUCAUAAUUCAACUUCAUGCAAAAACCCAGUGUUGUUCUUUGAAAAAUUUGAGUGAAUCAUCCUCAUCUUCAUUCUGCCCCAGUUUGGUGAUUUGUACUGCAACCCCAUUUCAUUUUGCUCUAGUGCCCUUGAGCUUUUUCCUACUUAUAGUCCUCCCUACCAAACUCUUAAGUCCAGGAAUUUGGGCCCAUUGGCAUAUUUUUGGUGCAUGCAAUGAUAGCCUUUAGUUUCUGCCCAAAACUGGUUUUCUCAAAAUCUUGCACUAUCAAGUUUCUGUUUUUGCCAAGCUAGCCUUACCACCUUCUUUAGCUCCUAAAGAGACUAGGAUCUGGGGAGUUUGGCCACCCCAAGAAUUGCCUAGUUGCCCAUGGCAUUCUGUCGAACACCCUGUGUGCAGGAACAAUUUUGGCAUGUCCUCUGGUUUGCAGUGUGGACUUGAGCCCCUGACCCAUCCAGCAUGUCCACUAACCUCCCAGAUGUCCCUAACCCUGGCCUGUUGACUGCCAGCCUCACCCAAGCUCUCUAGCGCGCACUGGCAUUUCGUCGAACACCUGCUGUGCGUGCUCUGGGCGCGGCCAGAGCGCGCGUUUUGCACGUGCGUGCGCUCGGGUCGACGCGUCCCAUCACUGGUCCCAGCUCGCCUGCAGAGCCGCGCCACACACUCGCCCUCUCAUCAGUACGCUCCAAGCCGCACUGGCGCCCUACAGCGUCGCCGGCAGAGCUCCCUUGGCGGCACGCCGGCGUCGGCAGCGGGCUCUGCCGUGGACGGCGCCGCCCAAGCCACCCGCGCGCGCCAGCUGCCCCAGGGAACAGCCCGUGCUUAUCCACAUGCUCGUCGGCACGCGCUCGUCACCGCCACGACGCCCUGCAGCUACAGCGACGGUGACUCGUCGUCGAUCUUAUCCACCGCCGCGAAGCCAGCCCCGUCGCGCUAUAAAUGGAGGCCCCGUGCUCCUCCGAGCACUCAGGCAACCCCAGGCCACCCCCAUAGUUCCCCCUUAAUUAGCCAGCAAUCGACGAGGAGGGGCUCUCUUCCUCGUCUCCGGCCAGUUCGACCGCCGCCGAGCUCUGGAGCAAUUCGCCGCAGCCAGGCCCUCCCCCGCCAAUCCAACGCCACCAAGAGUUUCCCCAUAGUCGUGCGGAGCUUCCUAGUGCCUCGGCCUCGACCAAGGACCCCCGGAGCCCAAAACCCACUCUGCUCCCGAACCUCCGUCCGCCGCGGAGCUCGCCGCCGGUGACUUUCUCCGUCCCCACCCGCCUAGCACCCACCGGGAGGACCGCCCCAGUCUGGCGGAUCCAUCCCUGCCCUCGGGACCCCGUGGGGAGCUGCCGUUCGCCGACGGCGAUCGCCGGAGCCCCGCCCCGUUCGGGCAGAAAGAAAGGAGGGAGAGGAAGAACGGUCAAACCUGACUAGUGGGCCCCCUGGACCCACUGUCAGUGACCCGCGCGGCCGUUCUCUCUGUUUAAGUGAAAGCGCAGAGAUCCGGAGUACGUGUCCCCUGCUUCGAAAACGUAUUCUUCCCCGAAGCGUUUUCCUUUUUCUGAUUUUAAUAAAACAGAACUUUGACUGAUCUUUGACUGGCUAUAACUUUUAAAAUAAAACUCCAAGUGAGUUGAUUCUUUUUCCUACCUCUCUCAAAUUUCAUCUAGUUUAUUUUAAGAUUUAUUUCAAAAAUAUUUGAGACAACUUUUUGUACUGUUUUUGAAAUGUGUGUUGUUUGAAUAUUUCUCAAAAUAGGAUUUUUGGAGAAAAGGCAACCUUCAAAAGUGCACCCCCACAUGCAUACACUUGAAGGCAAGCAUCCUGAACCCUGGCUUAAUAUUUUUGGAUGUUGUGAUACGGCUACAACAUCACCUUGACUUGGAGCAUACGCUAUUUUUAUGUGACGAUAAAAAUCAUAUGCGUGAGUGCAUAGUGGAGUUUUCUUUGCUGUGAUAAAUGGAUAUGUUGGUGAUGGUAUUCAUCCUCGUAAGCUUCCCUUGCAUACCGGAAGGAAGCCGGGAAAGUCGUGGUCUUGGGUAGACACGGGCUUGUCCCUAGUACCUCGUCGGGACGAGUAUGUCCGGUAUGGCAUGGUGAGGCUUGACGAGUGGUAAGUUUACCUGUUAAUGGAAAUAUUUUUGUUAUGCUAAUCAUGCAGAGAAUACUUGAACCUCCUGAGUCGGCCGUAGAUCGAGUCUUGUCCAGUAACCCCCAUACUUGUUCCGUACUACCGCUUGUCCCUGCCAUAGGUAGGGUACGGUUCAGUAAGUUGUCAACCCCUGUCUAGCACACACCAUACAGAGAGGCCGUGAUGAGGGUCCCAUGGCCAUGGAUUAAAGCCUGUCAUCCGGUCCGGGGGCAUGGGUGUUUCCGGUUGGGACCGAGAGGGGGGCCACCCCUUAGAGCGCGCAUAUAUAAAUUUGAUCCCAUGCUACGUCAAGGUUGUAGCCUCCCCACUUAGAGUUUGGCUUGACAGGUGUUGUGGGUGAUUCCAGACACCGGUAAGUUAAGCUGGUGUGUGCAGGUCAGGCGUGUUUUCAAUCAAAAGACCGUAGACGGAAUUAGUCCCGAUGGACUAAAGAAAUCCGUUACCCGUGGGUAAAGAGUACACCCUCUGCAGAGAUUAUACAUCUAUUCGAAUAGCCGUGUCCAUGGUUAAGGACUACAGUCUGGGAUAGGUCAAGUGUCGGUCUUAAUGUGUCUUCGGAGGAAAGCUGCUAAACCAGAACCUUGAUUAUGAACUGUGACAUAUGUGGAUUAUGAUAAUUAUUAUUGUGGACUAACCAUUUACUUUAUUUGUAUUAUUGAGUAUCCCUGGGAUGGUUCUACCUCCUGGAUACCCAUUACAACUAUUCUAUUAUAAGCCCUUUAUGUGGUGUCGCAUAGACGCCCGACUGUGCCAUGCUUGUUAUUUCUUUUAUCUAUAAGCCCUUUAUGUGGUGUCGCAUAGACGCCCGACUGUGGCAUGCUUGUUAUUUCUUUUAUCUAUAAGCCCUUUAUGUGGUGUCGCAUAGACGCCUGACCGUGGCAUGCUUGUUAUUUCUUUUGUUUAUAAGCCCUCUAUGUGGUGUCGCCCAAACGUCCGACUGCGGCAUUGUUAAUUUACUUGCACUUUUUUUCGAGGAGUCAUUUCAGACACUCAAUCACUACGUUCUAUUUCUAUAUGGCAUAUUCAUAUAUUACCCACAUGCGUGCAUCAUGAAUAUUUUGUGUAUCUCGUGACUGACGUUAUGAUCAUAGAAUAUUUUCGGAACAUGAUUUCCCUUGAUAUAUUAUACCCGUGUUCUUGAUGUUUUGCGAGUACAUUCAAACGUACUCACUGGCUUGUCCCUGGCUAUUGUCUUGGCCAGAUUUCUUGCACGGAGAAGAGUGUUACGACGACGGCCCCGGAACCUACGCAGUAUUGUCAGCAGCCUCGCGAAGAUAGGAGUUAUCCUGGUCAGCUGUUCUUGUGGGGAAUGGAGUCCCAUAGGCGCAGAUGAACCACAAACCGCUUCCGCCAUCAAACCAUUAGAAACCAAGUGUUGUACUCAUAGGCCACAAUGGUCUUGUACUACAUAUUUUUGUACUUCGCUUGGAAUUCUUGUAUCAAGUUGGUGCCUCAUCAGCUAACAGUAAUCCUGGGGCUGGUGAGCACAAAGACCGUUUUCUGGGAAGUUAUUAUCCCGAAAAUCCGGUCGUGACAGAAUAACAGAAUCGUUGAGUCUACCAACCAGAAUAGUCAGAAGGUCACAACCAAAAUUAAAACAAUAGCAGGUUUUAUUGGCUAACAAAAGCUUCGCAGGAGCUGUCAUUGUGUGACUAGUGCAUCAAAACACAAAAAAAGAACGUUGGACACAUCUGGCACUGAAUUAGAUAUUGGUCUAUUUGUUUUUCAGGCUCAGAGCUGGCACAUGGUUCAGACUGUAACAACUUCAGUUAAAUAUAUUCUUUUAUUCAAUUCUUUCUUUGCAUCACCACCUAUGCCACCUAUAUCAGUAUCCAACUACGGUAUAGUUCCAAAUGCAAUCUAAAGAUGACAAGUCUCGUCUAUGGCACCAACAGGCUCCAAUAAAAAGAUUUCACUAUGAAUACCAUAAGCAUCAGGGGUAUGGCAUAAACAGAUGAAUCUCAAGAGACAACAAAAUUGUACCGCAACAAUAGCAUGGCUUAAGUAUCAGGACUCACAAAACAGAGCUGUUGAGUGAGUCCACAAUAAAUCUAGAUCAACCUCACCAUACCAAUGUUCUAGCUUGCCACAUUUGCAAGCUAGAUAACUUGCGCUGCUUCUUCUUCGUAUGCUCCACUACUAGUUCUGCAUCGCCGCCAUUUCUGCUCCAACCACCUCCUCUUCCUGCUUAGUAAGUAGCAGGACAAUAAUGCAGCACUAAGCACCUGAGUUAAAUAUAUUUUCUUCUAUAUAACUGAUUCUUUGCAUCACCAUUUGUAUCAAUAUAAAACAAUUAUAUAGUUGUAAAUGCUAAUUCAAGGUAAGCAGUCUUGUGUAUAGGACCAAUAGGCUCCAAAAUAUAUUUCAAUAUAUAUAAAGAUCCUACACGUUCUCAUAAUUACGGAUAAAACUUAGUAAGCGAUUAACAGCAAAAAGAGUAAGCAUAACAUGAAACUAAGGCAUCUCAGGGAACAAUAAAAUUUGAGUUACUACUAAAUUUCAUUGCAACAAUAGCAUGGCAUAAUGACGUUUCACAAAGAGAGAUGCUGUGAUUUUGCUAAAUCACAAGUGAGAAGACCACAACAGCCUUGAUUGUACAACAAUGCAACGGUUCAAUUUCAAAUGCUAAUUUGAAGGUAGAGAAGCAUUAUAUACAGGACCAACAGGCUCCAAUAAAAUAGAGUUCACUACAAAGACCUUACAAGUUCUCAUAAGCACAUAUAUGAGUUAGCACGUGAUUAACAGUAGAGUGAGCAUAGCAUAGAACUGAGGCAUCUCAGGGGAAUACAAAAUUGCAAAUUUAAUUGCAACUUGUCAAGUUACUAACAUUAUUUUUCCACACAGCUAGUUCACAAAAUGACACACUUGAUUAGAGGGUAGGUGAAUAGAUAUGUAGCAAGAGAAUAAUGCUGCAUUAAGGAAUUCAGUUAAAUAUCACCUCCUGUAUUAGUAUAUAGCACUAGUAUAACUUCAGAUGCUAAUCGGAAGGUUACAAGUCUCAUCUAUAGGACCAACAGACUCCAAGAGAUGGAUUUCACUACAAAUGUAAUACGCUUUCUCGUAAACACGGACAAAUAAGCUAGUAAGCUAUUGGCAGUAGAGUAAGGAUAGUAUGUAACUAGAGCAUCUCAGGGGACAGAAAAACUGCAAAUUUCAUUGCAUCUCAAUAGCAUGGCAUAAUGAUCAGUUGCCACAGAACCAAACAGAGCUUCUGAGUGAGUCUACCAGACUGGUCUAUCAAAACAUGACAACAGCCUUGAUUGUACAACAAUGAAGCCUAAAAUAUGACAGACAGCUAGAUCAACCUCACCAUAACAAUCUUCAAUAAAAAAUCAUCAUGACAAAUUUGCAACCUUGGAGGUCUUGGCUCCUAGUGGUCCUUCUUCCCCUCUGCAAAAUGAGUUGCAAUCCUCCUUUGAUCUCCGGCUUGCUAGUACUAGCUUCUUCU